CAGAUUUUCCUUCCUCCUUCCUUCCCCAACCUACAUGAAACCCCAGCACACACACACACACGCACGCACCCUUCCCCACACAGGUCAUGGACAAGAAUUCCUAGAUCUCCCCGAUGGAUAAAGUUAAGAUUCCAAUAAAGUCACAAAACAGACUCUCCCACACUCUGUCCAACCAUGUGAAGAUGGAAGAGGGGCUUCAAGAGCUGUCAGCUUCUAGCUAUUGACGUUCUGCAGCAACAAGGAUCAGGGAAAUGAGUCUUCUUAUGAAAACCGAGUCCAGCUCCUUAUCAAGCUUCUCCAACAUUAUCCCACAUCCCACCAGUUCAAGUGGGACUUGGGUGCCAAUACUCCGAAUGAGCACAUUUUAGAGAAAGCCCAAACAUUUUUUUAAAAAAGGAACCUACCUCUGCAUUUCCUCCAGCACAACAGUGACCAUCACUUACUGAUUCGUACAAGCUGGCAAAUGGUGUUUUUGUGCCAUUAUCUUAGAAGACCGUUCUCCACUUCAGAGGAAGGGACAGGAGAGAGGACCGAGUGCCAGAUGUUGGCCCAAGUGCGCUGAUCUGUAUUUUAGACACACGUUUUCUGCCCAGGGCUUUCAGUCUUAGUCAGUGUCUCUAUCCAGUGACACCAUCUGCCAUAUAUAGGGCUCCAACACUUGUGCAUAAGCAACCGUGUGGUAUAUGUAGAGCACAGCUUCAGCUGAUGUGUCAGCUGCACCCCUUUCUCAAGGUGGCAGACCUGGCCACAGUCACCCACUCCUUAGUCAAGUCUUGGCUUGACUUGUGCUCUAUGUGGGGCUACCCUUGAUGAAUAUUCAGCUGGUGCAAAAUGCAGUGGCUAGGGUUCUCUCCAGUAGGUAUGUGCUCAAAAUAUGAUUAGCACAAUCCUUUUAAAACCGAGGGCUUACACAACCCCUUUAACAUGGAGCAGCUCCUUGCCUGCUCCUCCUCUGCUCACCGUCACUUCCUUAAUCACGGCACUCCCCUCCCCAGCUCUGAUUGUGCGCCAGCACGCAGGGGCAGCUGGGAAAUCUCCCAGUUAUGAUUCUGUGCCGGCGCAGUGAGUGCCGUGAUUACAGAAGUGGCGGUGAGUGGAGUUACAGGAGGCAAGGACCUGCUCUCCUCCAUGUUAAAAGGCCUGUGAAAGCCCUCGGUUUUGAAGGGAUUGUGCUGAGAUUUGGAAGCCGAAUUGUGUUUUGAACACAUCACUACUCUCCAGAGCUGCUGGAGAACAGUGACCAUAGUGCGAUCAAAUUCAGCAUACAUGUGGGCAGAGAAUCACCAAGGAAGUCUAACACAGACAUUUUGAAUUUCAGAAGAGGAAACUUCUCCAAAAUGAGGAGUAUGGUGAAAAGAAAGCUGAAAGGGAAAAUCAGGAGAGUCACUUUGCUCCAGAAUGCAUGGAGUUUACUCAAAACCACAAUACUAGAAGCUCAGUUAGAUUGUAUACCCAAAAGGAGGAAAGGUACCACUAAGUCCGGGAGGAUGCCUGCAUGGCUAACAGGUACUGUCAAGGAAGCCAUAAAAGGGAAGAAGACUUCCUUCUGAAAUUGGAAGGCCUUUCCAAAUGAAGAGAACAGAAAGGAACACAAACGCUGGCAAAAGAAAUGCAAGGUGACAAUAAUGGAGGCAAAAAGAGAGUUUGAGGAACAUUUAGCUAAAAGUAUCAAGGGGGAUAACAAAAACUUCUUUAUAUACAUCAGAAGCAGGAAACCUGCCAGGGAGGCGGUUGAACCAUUAGACAAUGAAGGAGUGAAAGGGAUUAUUAAGGAGGACAUGGAGGUUUCAGAGAAGCUAAAUGAGUUAUUUGCAUCCGUCUUCACAGCAGAAGAUACUGAGAAUAUACCUGUUCCUGAAUCAGGCUUUUUGGGGAUAGAGGCUAAAGAACGGAGUCAGAUAGAAGUGACAAGAGAAGAUGUUCUAAACUGUUGGAAAAACUAAAAACUAACAAAUCACCAGGGCCAGAUGGCAUCCAUCCAAGAGUCCUCAAAUAACUCAAAUGUGAAAUUGCUGGCCUCCUUGCUAAAAUAUAUAACUUAUCCCUGAAAUCGGGCUCUGUACCAGAGGACUGGAAAGUAGUAAAUGUAAUACUGAUUUUCAAAAAGGGAUCCAGGAAAUUACAGGCCAGCUAUCUUAACGUCCGUCCCAGGCAAAUUGAUGGAAAGCCUCCUCAAAGAUAAAAUUGUAAAGCACAUAGAAGAACAGGCCCUGCUGGGAGAGAACCAGCAUGGCUUCCACAAAGGUAAAUCUUGCCUCAUAAACCUUUUGGAGUUCUUGGAGAGUGUCAGCAAGUUUGUGGAUCAAGGUGAUCCAGUUGACAUAGUAUACCUGGACUUCCAAAAUGCUUUCGACAAAGUUCCUCAUCAAAGACUCCUGAGAAAACCUAGCAGUCAUGGGAUAAGGGGACAAGUACAUGUGUGGAUUGCUAACUGGUUGAAAGCCAGGAAACAGAGGAUUUCAGCUGCUAAGAGCUGUCUCCUCAAACCAAGGAUUCUCAUCCAAUCGGAUAAAGGGAGAAAGCCAUCUCCAAUAACUCAAGUCAGAAGGCGGCAAAUCUGCACUUCAAAAUGACAUUGGUUUUGCACCAGUUUCACGAUCACAGAAUCAGAGUCGAAAGGGGCCUUGGAAAUCUGCUGGUUCAGCCCCCUGCCACAGCAUCCCUGACAGCCAUCCAUCCUCUGUUUGAGAGCCUCUCGGAAGAGUGCUCUCCAGGGCACAAGACAAGAGUAUCCCAUUGUCGAAACUCCACUUCUGACAUCUACCUUAAAUCUGUAUCCUUGUCAUCUCAACUCUGUGGUCCUAGUCCUGCCCUCAGAGAAGAAACCUGUUCUUCCUUCUAUACGGCAGCCCUGCAGAUAUUUUAAGAUGGCUAUUUAUCGCCCUGUCGUCUUCUCUUCUUCAGGCUACACAUGCCCAGCUCCUUCAAACCAUUCCUCUCAGGCCCAAGUUUCCAGAAUCCUCAACACCUUUGUUGCCGUCGUCUGAACCCCUUCUUGUUUGUCAAUUCUUAAAAUGCAGUGCCCAGAACAGGACAUAGUUCACACCCAAAUAAUCCUGGGACUUAAAGUUGGAGUCUUGUGCUUAGGGAGGGGAAAGGCCUCUUCCGUUUCUAAUGUAGAUAUAUCUUCAUGCUACAUUACCUUGCUGUGGAGUUUUGAUACAAAGCAAAGUUAAAACCUAAGCAUUCACUUGGGUUUCAUUCUGCUCCCCCUAUGUCGGUUGGCUUACUCACCUAAGCUGUCAGGAGCGUACACUUUGCAAGGGCCUGAUUCAUGCCCUCUGCCCCAAAACCUUGUGCAAUCUUAACUGCAAGUUUUACUUGUAGGGGAUAAUGUAGAGUGACAGUAUGGAGUAAAAUGCUCACCUAAGGGAAAGGCU